UGGACACUUUGAACAACCUUUACAAACAUGACAGAAAGCCUGAUAACUGCAGGAGCAUUUUGGAGUUUUUCUGGCUUCUUUGGUGGCAAUAACUGUCGAUGAACCGGGAAAACAACAACGAAAACGUCAGGACGAUGCGACCGGCGAGAACUGCAGUGGGGAGGGGGCGCAUGAGGAGCUCAAAAUGUGUAUGGUUCCUUUGAAUAAUACGGAGCCUUUACUUUUCAAAGAUCGAUAAAUGGAUGUUGUUUGUGGGGAACAGUUGAUAAUGUCCUUUUGAUUUGAUAUGAAGGCUAAAUGCAAAUCCUUUCUUCAAGUUACUGUGAAAGACGAGGAAAAGAGGAAGAACACAGACAACGAUCUCCAGCUUCUUCCAGCAGAGUAGUCCUAUGGGCUCAAGAGAAUGAGGACAGAGCAUGGCAACGCUUUGUGGCUGUGAUGAAAAACCACCACGAAGACUUCCAGAUGAGGCUGUCAUUCAUCCUCAACCCAGAACUCUCUUGGAUCGGAGCAUCCCCUGAUGGUAUGAUUGCCUGCACUUGCCAUGGAGACAGCGCUUUAGAAAAUAAAAUGCCCCUUCAAAUCCACGAACUGCUCCCUCAUGGAAAACUGCAGGGAUUCUUCGUUUUGUCUUGGCCUAUGUCGGAGAAGAUGGGGUCAUGGCACUGAAACAAAACCUCAAGUAUAUGUAUCAAGUGCAGGCCCAAAUGCACAUUGCAGAGGUGGGUUACUGUUACUUCAUGGUUUGGACACCACGGGAAAUUUUCACUCAACAAAUUCCAUAUGACCCUGUCCUCUUCCAUGAUGCUUAAGUCAAAGUUGAGAAUUGCAUCAAGACUGGAGUGCUACCUGAGCUGCUGGGGAAAUGGUAUACAGCACCACGCUUUACUCCCAGAGACACUGCAGUCCCAAAUCAGCCACCUGAAGUGGCAUGCUACUGUGGUCAAUCUGCAGCCACAGAUGACAUCAUUUGCACAUCUGGAAACUGUAGGCGAAAGCACUCUCACAAGAACUGCCUUAAGCUGACUAGGGUACCUAAGACAUGGAAAUGUGUGGAGCGCAGAAAACAAGUUUAGUAUAUAUUUUAUAUUUGAAUGUAUAGUUGCCAUGAGCAUGUAUAAUGAACACAAUAGAGUAAUGUCAUUGAAUAAAUACGAUUUUUCAUUUUCAAACUCA